rnacentral:tRNA from 1 species
CCCAUUGUGGUGCACUGGUUUAAGCACUUGGCUGCUAACCAAAAAGGUGGUAGUUUGAACCCACCCAGUGGCU